AGUAGCGCACGGGUGCGUAACACGUAUGCAACCUACCUGAAACCGGGACAUAACCUCGAGAAAUUGAAGCUAAUAUCCCAUGUGAUUGUGGCAUCUAAAAUUGUGGUUAAAGAUGGGCAUGCGUCCCAUUAGCUAGUUGGAGAGGUAACGGCUCACCAAGGCGACGAUGGGUAGGGGUUCUGAGAGGAUGAUCCCCCACACUGGUACUGAGACACGGACCAGACUCCUACGGGAGGCAGCAGUAAGGAAUAUUGGUCAAUGGACGCAAGUCUGAACCAGCCAUGCCGCGUGCAGGAAGACGGCCUAUGGGUUGUAAACUGCUUUUGUACGGGAAGAAUGACGGUACCGUAAGAAUAAGGAUCGGCUAACUCCGUGCCAGCAGCCGCGGUAAUACGGAGGAUCCGAGCGUUAUCCGGAUUUAUUGGGUUUAAAGGGUGCGCAGGCGGGUAUAUAAGUCAGAGGUGAAAUUCCACGGCUCAACUGUGGGACUGCCUUUGAUAC
rnacentral:rRNA from 1 species